rnacentral:lncRNA from 1 species
AGAUAGACUGUCGACCAGCAGAUUUCAAAGGUUAUGAUCCUUUGAAUUCUUAACCAUUUAUUCCACUAACAACCUAUUGUUACCAACUAAACUACCUAACCAUCAGUCUAAUUCUCAAGGUUAUCAAUAACUAAGCAAUAACUUACCAUAAAGUUUAUUUAUCUAUUCUACAUAGCCCUACUCCUAUCUAUGCAGUGUCCUCGCAAACAUUAUUUAGCCUCAACUUAUAAAGACGUAGUAGCGUUGGCUUCUUCACUCAAUGGCAUUGGCUUACCACCCUUUGAAUUGGUGACCUUUUUCUCUUUACAUCUUCUUCAUCUACCUCAAUGUUUGAGGGUUUUCCAUACAAACGCGUCGU